UGCUGCCGCCGCCGCUUACAACUUGGAGGCGGCGGCGGCGGCGGCGGAGGAGGAGGCGGCGGCGGCCGCCGGGCGCUGCAGUGGGACGCGCGCGGCUGUGAGCCUGCGGGACAUGCCCCCCGCGCCGGCUCCUUGCUGGCGGCCAUGAAGAGGCAGAACGUGCGGACUCUGUCCCUCAUCGUCUGCACCUUCACCUACCUGCUGGUGGGCGCCGCCGUGUUCGACGCCCUGGAGUCGGACCACGAGAUGCGCGAGGAGGAAAAACUCAAAGCCGAGGAGAUCCGGAUCAAGGGGAAGUACAACAUCAGCAGCGAGGACUACCGGCAGCUGGAGCUGGUGAUCCUGCAGUCCGAGCCGCACCGCGCCGGCGUCCAGUGGAAAUUCGCCGGCUCCUUCUACUUUGCCAUCACGGUCAUCACCACCAUAGGUUAUGGGCACGCCGCACCUGGCACUGACGCAGGCAAGGCCUUCUGCAUGUUCUAUGCCGUGCUGGGCAUCCCGCUGACGCUGGUCAUGUUCCAGAGCCUGGGUGAGCGCAUGAACACCUUCGUGCGCUACCUGCUGAAGCGCAUCAAGAAGUGCUGUGGCAUGCGCAACACCGACGUGUCCAUGGAGAACAUGGUGACUGUAGGCUUCUUCUCCUGCAUGGGGACGCUGUGCAUCGGGGCGGCCGCCUUCUCCCAGUGUGAGGAGUGGAGCUUCUUCCACGCCUACUACUAUUGUUUCAUCACGUUGACUACCAUUGGGUUCGGGGACUACGUGGCCCUGCAGACCAAGGGCGCCCUGCAGAAGAAGCCGCUCUACGUGGCCUUUAGCUUUAUGUAUAUCCUGGUGGGGCUGACGGUCAUCGGGGCCUUCCUCAACCUGGUCGUCCUCAGGUUCUUGACCAUGAACACCGAGGAUGAGCGGCGGGAUGCCGAGGAGAGGGCGUCCCUCGCUGGAAACCGAAACAGCAUGGUCAUUCACAUCCCUGAGGAACCGCGGCCCAGCCGGCCCAGGUACAAGGCGGACGUCGGGGACCUGCAGUCUGUGUGCUCCUGCACCUGCUACCGCUCGCAGGACUAUGGCGGCCGCUCGGCGGCUCCGCAGAACUCCUUCAGCGCCAAGCUUGCCCCCCACUACUUCCACUCCAUCUCUUACAAGAUUGAGGAGAUCUCACCAAGCACAUUAAAAAACAGCCUCUUCCCAUCUCCUAUUAGCUCCAUCUCUCCUGGGUUACACAGCUUUACCGACCACCAGAGGCUGAUGAGACGCCGGAAGUCUGUUUAGGUGUGGGGAGGGAAAUGGAACAGAAAAGUCAUUUGUCAUAGUUGAUGUUAAUUUCCAUUGGUCCAACUCGUCUUUUCUUAUUUAUUUAUUAUUCUUUAUUAUUAUUGUCAUCAUUAUUACUUUCUCUCCUUCCUCCUUUCUUGGUCUCUCGGUCUCAUUUGCCCCCACCUUUCCAGCCAGACAGAGCAGGCCAAAGGGAAAUACAGGCCCAUCCUCCUCUGAAACUCACAUCUGAGCAUGAAGCAUGGAUCUCCUCCUUCCUUCCCAGCAGACUAUGCCUUACAUUUCUCACCCCACCCGCCCCAUCUCUGCAGUGGUUUUCCAGGGACAGAGGUGAGACCAAGACCACGGAGACAGAACUGAGAGGAUACCCACCCCAAAGCUGCACACCAUGCUCAGAGCCUUCAAUCGCCCACCUUAGUGGUGUCUCUGACCUAACUCCUUUCUCUUUUCCUCCCUAAGGACUGAGUGGCUGUGUGUGCAUGUGUUGUGUGUGUGCUUCUGUGUGCACGUGUGUCGUGACAACACGGGAAGUAUUAGGUAUUCCUUUUUCUUUCCAUCACACAUCAUAGCCUGCUUUUGGCUGCUUCCAAAAAAACAAAGACAACCCCCCCCCAAGGUUUUUGAUUUACCGUCUCUUGCCAAAGCAAGCAUGUUUCAUAAGCAGUCUUUACCCCUGAUGUGUCAUGGUCCUACUUUCUAAAUGCUAGGUUCUCAAUUAUAUUAACAUUUUUUAGGGGGCGGGUGGGCAGGAAGACCUGGAUCAUUUUAGCUUGCCAGUUCAAACAUUUUUAAAAAGCAUGCACUUUGUUAAACUGGUAUGCGCUAUCCACAAGAAAACCAGAAGUGGAAUCAUCAAAAGCCCAUCAUAUUAAUUUAUAAGAGAUAUCUUUAGUUUUGUCACCUCCAGUUCCAACAAUUUCCCGUGCAACCGGAAUUCUCAGGGGACACAGGAAAAUUGUUGGGACCACAGAGUACCUGUUUUGUUUCCCUCUUAUUGACGAUUUUGUGCAGCACCUUCCUGCGUAAGAAUUAUCGUGUUGGAAUGCUUGGGCAAGAAUGGGUAUUAGUAUGUGGCUGUGGUGCCUUUUCCUAAUGAGAAGUGACAGGGCAUUCCUCAUUAAAAAUAUAUAUCUAUUUCAAGAAAUACCGUCUCUAAUUGCAUUUGAUUUGUAAAUAGGGGAAAGUUCACAUUGGUCUCAGGAAGAGUUUAGAGGCAAGGAGCUAUGUCUUGGCCUACUGGGAACUUGCCAAUCUCAGGGGACAAUUUUGUCUGAGUAGUGUAGGAAUUCCUCCCUGCUCUCAAUAGGGUAUGAGCCCAAAGGGAAGACCCGCUAUCCUCUUGUGGGGGAGGGGUAGGGGUAGUUCAGGCCGUAGAAUAUGGCACAUUGGAGGCUCUUACAGUAGCAGGAAUAAAAGACAGUUUGACCUCCAGAUUCACUGAGGGGACUUUAAUUUCCCUCAUUACCAUCCCUGCCAUUUUCUAAAAAUCACCCAUUCAUCCAUCCUCCCAUUCCUCUUUUGUAAACCGGAAAUUCAUGGCUCUUGCAUGGAACUGGACCUUGGCUGUUCUCAGAAGGAGCACGGUUACCGGCCUGUCUCAAGGCCCCAACGAGAUCUCCCAGAAAGGAGGCUUUGCUCCCUAGAAAGAGUAGACCUACAGGAUUUCUUAAAGGAGACAACACCUGAAUGCCACCAGUCCCAAGCAUUUGGGCCAUUGGGCUGAAACAGGAGCAUUCAAGACUCCUCUGAAAAAGCUGUGCAUGUACUUUUACGCUACAUCCCAUGUUGAAAUUUCCCCUUCGUCCAGGACACAGGGCCUUCGAAGGAGUCUGCGAACCUCAGAUUCUCUAGGCCAAAGUUGACAGUUCUCAACCUUCAAGGGGAACUAACUGCACAUUCAAGAGAGGCGUCCGUGGAUGCUGGGUCUCACUGCCAAAGCCGAACAUGGCUUCGGGAUUUCUGCCUUCUCACGUGGACCUCUGCUGUGCUGGUUGAAUGCCACUAUUUGUUCCCCUAAACACCUGUGGGGAUGGUCCAGCUACUCAUAGACAGGAAGCCUAGAGAAAUGCUUGAUGUGAGGGUCCCUGCAAGCCAGUUGGGCCGUUUUGGCACCUGCCCCCCCACCCAUAGCUCCUCAAUGAGGGGUAGAGACUGCCAAGCCCUUCCACUCAUUCAUCAUCAUAAAAAUGUAACUUGCUAUGACAGCCUCUUGGCCAUUAAGGGCUAUAUUUUGUGACCUCUGUCCUUGAGAUCUUUGCUCUGACAAGCUCUGUAGCCUUCUCAGUGCCGCUGUCGUGAUGCAGUUUCCCUGCUGUGGCUAAGUAACCUUUCGUUUUGAUCGAGAUUUGUCCAUGCAGACUCCCACCUCUGCACCUUUGCCCGUGCCUGUCCCUCGACCUGGGAGGCCUCCCUGUUGCUCUCCAGCUUUGAGGUGGAGACAGAGCAUCUCACACCUCCUUUUGCUGUCUUGUGACCCUUUUGCUCCCUGAUGGACUUGACGAUGUCCUCUUCUGGGGUCCCCCAGUUCUUGUUUUUGUCGUGAGUGACCGCACCCAGGGAGCAAAACUUCUGUGGCCCUGGCUACAGGAACAGCAAGCAAUGGGCAGUGCCCCGGAGGGAAGGACCAUCUCGAGAAUAAAGGCACUGAGAUGUGUGGCCUCUUGCCCCAAUGGCCACUCAUCACCAUGACUGAGGCAUGUCUUAACUUGCUGAAGUGGAAACAGGGUAACUCAAUGCACGCCUCUGCUCCAUCCCUGGAAACGGAUCCAGAUCUAUGGGAAGAAAACUGGACCUCAUAGUGUUGGCGAUUCAACAGCACCUGCCCGGCAGGGUGGCAUGUGCCCCAUACAACAGGGCUGGAAGCUGCCAUACCAGGCAUCUCUCAUAAGGCGGGUGACACAGAUGGCACCAGGCUCCAGGAGCACCAUUGCGAUGUGUCACCAUGGAGAACUUGGGCCCCGCGAUGGGAACGUCAUCAGGAAACAGUCUGCACUGUUUUCUUGCGGCAACACCUCUGGUAGAGGCUGCGAGGGGACGGGGACAUGCAUCGUGAGUGACUCAGGAUCCCCAGCCUCUCUGGCCUGGCACCUGCCCACCCCUAGAGCCCUGGGCCUUGAGAGAGGCAAGUGCAUGCUCUUCUCACCUCCAGAGAGCAGCGUGGGGGUGUGGAUGCUGCUCAGGCCCUGGCAUCUCGCACGCCUGGGACCGGCCUCUGCCAUUCACAGGACUGUGCAGGCGGCCCCAUCAGAGGAUGGUGACAGCUGUCUCCUUCUGUGAGUGAGGAAGCCUCAUCCUUCCUUGGAUCCUCAGCAUCUCUUAACCAGCUGCGGCAGAGGUCGAAUUAGAAUGGCACCAGCUUUGGAUAAAAAUCUAGAUCUCGUUUUUCAAAACGUGUCUAGUGCUGGUGGCUGUAAGGAACCAAUCAAGCCUCAGCUGUGAUUCUAAUCGGGCCAAGUCCACCUGAGAGCCCAACUCAUUCAUCCAAAGAGAACACGGUUUGGAUGAAGCUCAAGGUGCAUGGCUGGCUGGCAUAGACUGGACAACCUCUUAAAGGCCGGGCCGCAGAGAUAGAAGGUCUGUCACUCAAGUUGGGGAAAUCACCUGAGAAGCUCAAGUCCACUGCCUCACAGCUCAAACGAGUCAGCCUUACCAACCAAGAAUUGUGCUGAUAAACAGACUCAGAGCUGUGCUCGUGGGGUUGCCCAUCUGCAAGUGUCUCACCUGGCCCUUCUGCAGGGCCCGGCAGGGAUUAGGGAGGGUCAGUGCUCCCUGGGGCGGGACUGGGUCUGCUUCCAGGCUCAGCGCCUCCGAGUCAUACAGAUGCUAGGUGGUCCUGCUGCUUACCCUCGCUGAACCUCAGGCUUCUCGUGUAAACAGGGCGCUUUUGAGGAAUUAUUAACAUCUCCCUGUGAGUCAAGGCACCUACUGAAAUCAUGUAUGUAAUGCUUGUAAUAAAUGCAGCUAUGUGCCCAGCACUCAGACAC